rnacentral:rRNA from 1 species
UGGGGAAUAUUGCACAAUGGGCGAAAGCCUGAUGCAGCAACGCCGCGUGAGGGAUGACGGCCUUCGGGUUGUAAACCUCUUUUAGUAGGGAAGAAGCGAAAGUGACGGUACCUGCAGAAAAAGCACCGGCUAACUACGUGCCAGCAGCCGCGGUAAUACGUAGGGUGCAAGCGUUGUCCGGAAUUAUUGGGCGUAAAGAGCUCGUAGGCGGUUUGUCGCGUCUGGUGUGAAAUCCCGAGGCUCAACCUCGGGUCUGCAGUGGGUACGGGCAGACUAGAGUGUGGUAGGGGAGAUUGGAAUUCCUGGUGUAGCGGUGGAAUGCGCAGAUAUCAGGAGGAACACCGAUGGCGAAGGCAGAUCUCUGGGCCAUUACUGACGCUGAGGAGCGAAAGCAUGGGGAGCGAACA